GACGAACGCUGGCGGCGUGCUUAACACAUGCAAGUCGAACGGAAAGGCCCUGCUUUUGUGGGGUGCUCGAGUGGCGAACGGGUGAGUAACACGUGAGUAACCUGCCCUUGACUUUGGGAUAACUUCAGGAAACUGGGGCUAAUACCGGAUAGGAGCUCCUGCUGCAUGGUGGGGGUUGGAAAGUUUCGGCGGUUGGGGCUGGACUCGCGGCUUAUCAGCUUGUUGGUGGGGUAGUGGCUUACCAAGGCUUUGACGGGUAGCCGGCCUGAGAGGGUGACCGGCCACAUUGGGACUGAGAUACGGCCCAGACUCCUACGGGAGGCAGCAGUGGGGAAUAUUGCACAAUGGGCGGAAGCCUGAUGCAGCAACGCCGCGUGCGGGAUGACGGCCUUCGGGUUGUAAACCGCUUUAGCCUGUGACGAAGCGUGAGUGACGGUAAUGGGUAAAGAAGCACCGGCUAACUACGUG
rnacentral:rRNA from 1 species